rnacentral:rRNA from 1 species
AGAGUUUGAUCCUGGCUCAGAACGAACGCUGGCGGCGUGGAUAAGACAUGCAAGUCGCACGGAGUGCCUUCGGGCACUGAGUGGCGCACGGGUGAGUAACACGUGAGUAACCUGCCCGUGAGACAGGGAUAGCCCCGGGAAACUGGGAUUAAUACCUGAUGGUCUCGCAAGAGUAAAGCAGCAAUGCGCUCAGGGAGGGGCUCGCGUCCUAUUAGUUAGUUGGCGGGGUAACGGCCCACCAAGGCGAUGACGGGUAGCCGGUCUGAGAGGAUGUCCGGCCACACUGGAACUGAGACACGGUCCAGACACCUACGGGUGGCAGCAGUCGAGAAUCAUUCACAAUGGGCGAAAGCCUGAUGGUGCGACGCCGCGUGGGGGAGGAAGGUCUUCGGAUUGUAAACCCCUGUCAUGUGGGAGCAAGACUUCGGUUUGAUAGUACCACAAGAGGAAGAGACGGCAAACUCUGUGCCAGCAGCCGCGGUAAUACAGAGGUCUCAAGCGUUGUUCGGAAUCACUGGGCGUAAAGGGUACGUAGGCGGCAUCAUAAGUCGUGCGUGAAAGGCAGGGGCUCAACCUCCGGAGUGCGCGUGAUACUGUGAUGCUGGAGUAAUGGAGGGGGAACCGGAAUUCUUGGUGUAGCAGUGAAAUGCGUAGAUAUCAAGAAGAAGACUCGUGGCGAAGGCGGGUUCCUGGACAUUUACUGACGCUGAGGUACGAAGGCCAGGGUAGCGAAAGGGAUUAGAUACCCCUGUAGUCCUGGCAGUAAACGGUGCACGUUUGGUGUGCGGAGAUUCGACCCUCUGCGUGCCGGAGUUAACACGUUAAACGUGCCGCCUGGGGAGUACGGUCGCAAGAUUAAAACUCAAAGAAAUUGACGGGGACCCGCACAAGCGGUGGAGUAUGUGGCUUAAUUCGAUGCAACGCGAAGAACCUUACCAAGGCUUGACAUCCCGUGACCGUCUGUGAAAGCAGAUUUUCUAUUCGUAGACACGGAGACAGGUGCUGCAUGGCCGUCGUCAGCUCGUGUCGUGAGAUGUUUGGUUAAGUCCAGCAACGAGCGCAACCCCUGCUGCCAGUUACCAUCAUUAAGUUGGGGACUCUGGCGGGACUGCCCAGAUCAACUGGGAGGAAGGUGGGGACGACGUCAGGUCAGUAUGGC